UAGGGAAUCUUCCGCAAUGGACGAAAGUCUGACGGAGCAACGCCGCGUGAGUGAAGAAGGAUUUCGGUUCGUAAAACUCUGUUGUUAGGGAAGAAAAAAUGUAUAGUAACUAUAUACAAAAGAGACGGUACCUAACCAGAAAGCCACGGCUAACUACGUGCCAGCAGCCGCGGUAAUACGUAGGUGGCAAGCGUUGUCCGGAAUUAUUGGGCGUAAAGCGCGCGCAGGUGGUUUAGAAAGUCUGAUGUGAAAGCCCACGGCUCAACCGUGGAGGGUCAUUGGAAACUAAUAAACUUGAGUGCAGGAGAGAAAAGUGGAAUUCCUAGUGUAGCGGUGAAAUGUGUAGAGAUUAGGAGGAACACCGGUGGCGAAAGCGGCUUUUUGGCCUGCAACUGACACUGAGGCGCGAAAGCGUGGGGAGCAAACAGG
rnacentral:rRNA from 1 species